rnacentral:lncRNA from 1 species
AGAUGUCGUUAUUCACAGCAGGGUUGGGGUACUUGGGGUACCGCGCUAGGAAUUUGUGGCAUAGCAACCCCAAGCUCUUCUCCUUCCGACUCGGCUGGGAUUUCUCAAAUUCGUCUCCUGAUAAGUGUUCCUGCAGAGGGAAAGCAGGUCAACAGCCUUCCAACAGCUCCGGGCUCCACACUGACCGUCCCUUCAUCCACAAGCCCCCAAACGCCACCCAGCCUCCCUGUAAACCUACGUGCAAACAGUCUCUAGCUUCAGGGCAGAAUCCCCGUUACCUCCCUGAUGAGCCAGGGCUGCGUUUUGCUUAAAGCGUGGAAGCGUGGUGGGAGGAUCAUCUGUGUGGAUCCCCUCCAGCCAGAUGCCUCACAUCCUGUUGAGCACAGAAUCCCUAUCCUGCAUCUAGCCCUGACCAAGGAGAGGAAGGGCUCGGUGAACACUGAUUGGCUAAGGUUCUACCUUAGCAGGCUAUCCUACCAAGUAGCGAGGAUGCUUUUCUCCCCGCCUGAAGCGUCAAGUGCAAUUGUGAACACGCACCAAGUGCUCAGUAAGGGAUGUGAACCUGUUUUGUACAAAUUGGUGGCUUGUUUGGGUUCUUCAGAAUUGUGGCUUCUGAUUCACUGGAGGUGGCUGUGCCCCUACCCCGCAACCCCCUGAAGUGGCUGGCAUUGGUGCAAAUGAGGCUGUUGAACCUGAUCGUGUUCUCUCUGGCCUUGGACCUGAGUGCUGCAGAGAGAGAGAGAGAGGGAGACUCUGAUGGCUCUGAAGAUCAUGGCCCUUCCCAUAUGAGGUUCUAGGCAGUAUUCCUGAGCCGGUCUCUUGCUCACUCCCCAGCCCUUUUGAAUACCCCUUUUCGGUAUGAAUUUGAUGAUCUAAUUUGACUAUCUCUCAAAUGCU